rnacentral:antisense_RNA from 1 species
CUUCACCGAGCCGAGGUACAACGGGGUCUGCGGGCGGUCCUGCCCGUAGGUCGCCAGCAGCGCCUGCGCCUC